rnacentral:lncRNA from 1 species
AAUCCGAAACUGUUUUUCCACUCAUCUCCUAAAGCAAGCUUGUUCCUACUGAGAACAAACUUAGGUUUAGUUUGGUAUUGAGGUAGAUCUAACAUUAUUAGAUAAAAUGGAGUUGAGAAAAAGCAUAUAGAGAUAUACUUCUGCGUUCUAUCAGAGCAUAUAGAGAUAUACUUCUGCGUUCUCUGAUAGAACUGUAGAAAAUAUAUCGUAACCGACCAAUCGCAAUAUGCGUAACCUAAUAUUACAUACGAAAACAAAUAGGGUAUUAAAUUAACUAUUUACUUUAAUAAAUUUAUAGUUAUAAAAAUUAUAUGAAAUAUAAUAACUAAAUAUGUAAAGAUAAACAAUGUAUCCAUAUUUCGAAGUUAAUGUAUCUUUAAUUGC